rnacentral:rRNA from 1 species
UACGUUCCCGGGUCUUGUACACACCGCCCGUCACACCAUGGGAGCGGGUUUUACCAGAAGUAGGUAGCUUAACCGCAAGGAGGGCGCUUACCACGGUAGGAUUCGUAACUGGGGUG